GAAUGUAAAAGUGACUGCAUGACAUCUGUCCUGUCCCGUUGGUCAUGAGGGAUGAUUCGGCAGAUGUGGCUACUUCAUUGCAUGUCCUCUUCCUCCAUCAGCUCUCCAUGUGUAUCCCUCCUGAAACUGCACAUGACGUUGAAGGAUGACCUUUUGCAGUAGAGGAGGCCUGGCCUUCAGUCAAAGAUAUAUGAGUAGCUGUAGUCUCUGAUAGAACCUACACAAAAGAGCAGUAAGAGUAAAAAGACAAAGAUAAAGAUUUAAGCAACCAAAAACUAUAGAAUUAAUAAAAAUUAUCCUGU
rnacentral:snRNA from 1 species